rnacentral:rRNA from 1 species
AGUUCGACUGGCGGCUCAGACUGAACGCUGGUGAUGCUUUACACAUGCAAGUCGGACGGCAGCACGGAUUUCGGUCUGGUGGCGAGUAAGGAACGGGUGAGUAAUGUAUCGGAAACGUGCCUAGUAGCGGGGAUAACUACGCGAAAGCGUAGCUAAUACCGCAUACGGGCCUCUUCGGGGAAAGCGGGGGACCUUCGGGCCUCGCACUAUUAGAGCGGCCGAUAACGGAUUAGCUAGUUGGUGGGGUAACGGCUCACCAAGGCGACGAUCCGUAGCUGGUUUGAGAGGACGACCAGCCACACUGGGACUAUUGAGACACGGCCCACUCCUACGGAGGCAGGGAAUUUUGGAGAAUGGGGAACCCCGAUCCAGUCAUCCUCCGGUGUGGUGAUGAAGGCCUUCGGUUGUAAAGCACUUUUUGGCAGGAAAGAAACGGCACGGGAUAAUACCUCGUGCAACUGACGGUACCUGCAGAAUAAGCACCGGCUAACUACGCCAGCAGCCGCGGUAAUACGUAGGGUGCAAGCACUGGAAUUACUGGGCGUAAAGCGUGCGCAGGCGGUUCGGAAAGAAAAAGAUGCGGAAAACCCAGAGCUUAACUUUGGAACCGCAUUUCUUUAACUACCGAGCUAGAGUGUGUCAGAGGGAGGUGGAAUUCCUGCGUGUAGCAGUGAAAUGCGUAGAUAUGCGGAGGAACACCGAUGGCGAAGGCAGCCUCCUGGGAUAACACUGACGCUCAUGCACGAAAGCGUGGGGAGCAAAGCAGGAUUAGAUACCCUGGUAGUCCACGCCCUAAACGAUGUCAACUAGCUGCUGGGGUUUUCUGGGCUCGGUAGCGCAGCUAAUUACGGUUGACCGCCUGGGGAGUACGGUCGUGAGAUUAAACCUAAGCGAAUGACGGGGACCCGCACAUGGUGGAUGAUGUGAUUAAUUCGAUGCAACGCGAAAAACCUUACCUACCCUGACAUGUCUGGAAUCCCGAAGAGGGAUUUGGGAGAUAGCCAAAAGAGAACUGUGGAACACAGGUGCCGAUGGUUGUCGUCAGCCUCGUGUCGUGAGAUGUUGGGUUAAGUCCCGCAACGAGCGCAACCGGUCGUCAUUAGUUGCUACGAAAGGGCACUCUAAUGAGACUGCUGGUGACAAACCGGAGGAAGGUGGGGAUGACGCUUUAAGUCCUUGCGGCCUUGCGGUAGGGCUUCACACGUCAUACAACGUCGCACAGAGGGUCGCCAACCCGCGAGGGGGAGCCAAUCCCAGAAACCUGAUCGAACUGGAUCGCAGUCUGCAACUCGACUGCGUGAAGUCGGAAUCGCUAGUAAUCGCGGAUCAGCAUGUCAGUGCAGUGAAUACGUUCCCGGUCUUGGUACACACCCGGGCCCAUCAGACGAGGGAGGUUUUACCAGGAAGUAGUUAACGCAACUGUAAGGAGGGCGAUUACCACGGUAGGAUUCAUGACUGGGGUGGUCGCAACAAGGUAA